GUCACUAUGGCGGAGUGGUUAACGCGUCAGACUUGAAAUCUGAUAUCCUCUGGAUGCGCAGGUUCAAACCCUGCUGGUGACG